CCAGCCGCUUUAAGGUGCUUUAUGGAACCAAUUCUUACAAAGCUUGCCCAGGAAAAGUGGUCUGGUAUCUAUCUGGCUUACAGGAUGUAAGCAAGGUUACUUCCAGGCAGGCCAGUAACACUGGAUAUUGGGGUCCUCCAAAAGAGAGGGGAAAGUGCAAACGCAGUCCCCCACUACCACAAAUUAUGCAGUCGAGUUUCCCACAUUUGGGGAAAUCACAGGGGUCAGCACAUCCGGAGUGCAAUGGAUAAGCCUUGCCCUGGGAAAACCACCUUCGUGAUCAUGGUAUUUCCCCUGCCAGUCUGAUGUGCCUCUGCAAGUCUAUGGCCAGUAUCAAAGUGGGACCAUCUCAGAACUACCUGCCCUUUUGCAUCCACAGAAAGUCUUUGGUGCUCAGAUGUGACUCACAGAUGCCAGCACUGGGACUCAGGAGAGGGCUUCGGGAGAGGAAUAUUGGGAUUUUCUGGCCUCUCCUCAACUACAAUGGACAGUACUAUUCUGAUCUCUGAUCCUUUUAUGGUGAGCAUGAAGCAAGUUCAGGAGACAGAAGAGUGUGCUGGACAGCACACACUAAUGUGUUUUCUGAAGAAAACAGUAUCUAUGAGAUGCCCCAUGAAACAAACAACUUCAAUCAGAUAACUUUAGAAAAUGCUGCAUACCGUGUCUUCUUCUGGAAGUACGCAAAACAAACAGAAUUUCUAUAAAGGGAUGUGGUAAAAAGAUAUUUGUAACUUUGUACCUUGUACCCAAACUUCUUUUGGGUACACUUAUGGAAGCUUAUUUUCCAAAACACCAAUAACAUUCUGCUACACAGCAUUCUGUUGAAUACAGUUUUAGAUAUAAGUCUAAAAGUCAUCUUAACUAGUUACUUUGGAGGAGAUAAUCCUAAAGGGAUGCUAUGCAUGGUAGCAGAAGAAGAGCAUGGAGAUGGGAUGCAUAUCACAUGUAACUGAGGUCAUCAAGGCAUGUCUCUGGUUAAUAACCCCUUUUUCCCAGGGCUGUAGUAAGGAGUCACUGAAAUAAUGUAUAGAAAACUCUUAACACAUUAUCUAGCACACAGAGGAAAAUUUGUGUUGUUAUUAUAAAAAUUACAUGAGAAGUAUUAAAAUUUAAAUAAUGAUUGAAAAUGCCCUAGUAGAAGCUCUACUAUCUAUUAAGUGGUUAAUAAACAGUAACAAGUUAGGUUACCUUUCCCUCAUUGAUAAAAGCAAAUUUGACCAAAGAAGAUAGCUACAGUUGUACAAUCUCCUUACUAGACUGUGAACUCAGGGAGGAUUGGGGCUGUGUCUGCUUCUAGUCAGCCUAUUCCCCCCAACAGAGCAUCUAAAACAUAAUGUGUACUAUUUUUUGUACAUUGUUGAUUAAAUGUCCCUCUGUCUUUAUUAACUUCACAGAGCAUAGAAUCAAGAUUCUUCGUUAUUUGCUCUGUAGAAAUAGCAUCAAAACAAAUAUCAUAAAAUCUCAUUAUCUAAAAUUUACUAUGUUACUCAGCCAGGUUCUAAAUGCACUUAUCAAUCCAAACUUUCACCGAUUAGCAAAAGACAAAGAAAUGGGAAUAUCUUAUUUCUGAUUGAGUUAACGUAACACAUAUUGGCAUCUCAACAGAGGUGGAGAUUGAAAACUCGAUUCUGAAACGUUCAAGGACUUUCCCAUUAAGCAAUGUUCCACUCUCAAAUCCAUAAAUACCAAAUUGCUAUUGACGGCAGGGCAGAACAGCCUAACCAAUUACACAGAAUUACUUUUCAGUAUGUGGAUUACAACCACACAGAAAACAGCAAUCGAUCAAAGAUGCUGGCUUCUAGGGCUAAGGGAAAGCAGCAGCACAGACAAUAGAUUCAAGACAAAAAUCCAGAAUAUUUGUUUGAUGAUUCACAUUUGGCAGAAUUCCAGAUUGAAUUUUUCUUAUUUGGACUCUUCAAUAUUUCGCGAGGAUAAGAGCAGCUAUGAUUCUUAGUUUAUAGUUAUCAAAACUCUCUUACCCUCACUUUCCUCAUCAUUCCUUCAAGUAGUUAUUAUGGAAUGAUUUUUCUCAAAGAAAAAUACCUAAGAAUUUCUGCUCUUUUUAAUAUAAUUCAGUACUUCCCCAUUGGUCUCAGAAAAGUGAUCCAAAUUAUUCAUUUGAUCUGUAAGGCCCCAAGUAGCCAGAGACCACCUGUAAUAGUCAGGUUAGGUUAUGGUGUGCUACAGUAAAAAACAACCCCAAAAUGUCAGUGGCCUAACAUAGCAAAUUAUUAUUUUUUAUUUACUCGAAGUCUGCAAAAUUAUUCGUCCCUCCAGAUCACUUGUCCUCCAGACAGUGAGUUACAUCCGGGCCGUUUAGCUUUGGAGGCUUUGCCGUAUCAAUACAAGGUGUCCUCAUUCAUCACAGGAUGGGAAUAGGAACGAGGUAAUUUUGCAUGGACUUUAAUCCCUCAGCACAAAUGUGACAUUAUUCAUACAGCUCACCCAACCGAAAGGGAGGAGGGGUAUGGAACAUGUGAGUAAAUGAACAUUUGACGAGCACCACUGUCCCUUCCUCACCUCCUUACCUGUCCAUCCUUACCUGUAUCACUCUUCUACCUGCACUGAGCUCUCAGCUAUACACAGUUUCUUCAAUAGGCCACACUCUCUCCUCCCACAGGGCAUGUGCAUGCCUUUUACCUCUGCGGAGAAUACUCUUUCCUAUCCUACUCCCUUUCCCUCUCCCCCAACCCUUCUACCUAGUUGGUUUUCAUUUUCUUGCAAUCUCAGCUAAGCAUAACCUUCUCAGAGAACUCUUCCUCAAACUCUUCCCCUCCCACAAGUACCAUUAUAGGAAUGUUCUCUUUGGAAAAUUUAUUAUACUUUGCAGAUUUAUGUUCCUCAUUGUGAAUAUUUGACCAGGUCUUUCCUAUAUCAGUAGAAUGGAGACUGUAAGAGAUCAUGAACUAUACUGAUUUUUUUUAUCAGCAUUGUAUCCCCAGCAC